rnacentral:rRNA from 1 species
UACAGAGGUCCCAAGCGUUGUUCGGAUUCACUGGGCGUAAAGGGUGCGUAGGCGGUUUGGUAAGUCUUAUGUGAGAUCUACAGGCUCAACUUGUAGUCUGCAUGAGAAACUGCCGGGCUUGAGUAUGGGAGAGGUGAGUGGAAUUCCUGGUGUAGCGGUGAAAUGCGUAGAUAUCAGGAGGAACACCUGUGGCGAAAGCGGCUCACUGGACCAUAACUGACGCUGAUGCACGAAAGCUAGGGGAGCAAACAGG